rnacentral:lncRNA from 1 species
CCUAGCUGAUAAAGGUGAAGAAAGAACUAUUUGUGCUAGACCCAGAGAUGGAGGUGUGCCUUCCUUGGUAUUUUAAUCCAACUCCUCUUCACAUGCCAUUUACUCUGGAGUUCCUCACUACAUAUAAACUUCUGUAAUAUUUACUUCCAGCAGGUAAAUAAAUUUGCCUCCCGUUUUGAUAAGGCACAAUGCCACUAUUCAGACUUGCCAAAUUCGUAAUGAACUUGGAAGAGGAACAGCAGAAUCUGUGCGAACACAACAGGACUCAUAAAAGAAACCUUUCUGAGAGGCUGUUAUUCUCCGACUCUGGUGUUAGAGACGCACUUGGAGCCAGAUGAAAGCACUGAAGGAAGACUAGCAUUGUGCUUACCACAAAAUUGGCAUAAUGGAACGGCAAUUCUCUGUUCCAUUAGAUAAAACCUGCCCAUUCUGCUUCUUGCUAUUGCCCUUGAACACUGUAACUGCUUUUUUUGGCAUGCUUAAAAGUGCGCUGCGAGCUGUGGGGCAAGAAGAGCCUGCAGAGCAGGGAUCCGUCUGGACGUGAGAGGAGAUGGACAAAAAGAGAGCGUGUGAGAUCCAGCAAGUAGGGAAACCACAGGAAGAGCAGAGGUUGCAGGACUUCAAAUCUCUGAACGUUUUGGUCUGAGAAAUGGCAAGAAGAAACCUUUCCUAGGGAUGCACAGGGUUUGUCUAGGAUUUGAUAAAACCUAGAUAGUCACUAAAAAGCUUCUGGGCUGAAGGAACCUGCAAACCUGAUGGGAAGAACAUUUCCUAUGAGAUCGCUGGGAGUAGUGAGUAAAUUUUCUUUGCGGAGCCCUUUUGUUUCUGUUCCCACUCACACUGUUUUCUCUGUCCUGUAAAGUUCACUCCUUUAGUUUCUGCUCAUGAACUCUAGCUUUUGAGAGCUGUCAUAUGAUACUUCUUUAAUGAAAGGGCACAAGCAGCCUCAUCUUACAGAUCCGACCAACUUGAGAGUCUUGCCACAGCAAGACAAAGGGGAUUUUUUGUUGUUUGCCUUUUUUUUUUUUUUCCUUCUAAGGGAUAGCCUCAUAAAUUAAGUGUGUCAGAGCAAAUAAUUCUCCAGGAUGCCUUGCCAUUAUUUAGAGCAAUCCUACAGUACGUUAGAACAGUAGGAUCAGAGCAAUGCUAAAACCGAAAAAAGGUGCUUUCACCUGAAAGAACAAAUUAUAUGCAAGAAGCGCUCUGGGGGAUCCAGCUCUGAGCCUGGUAUCGGCAGUAAGGAGUGUUCAUGAAGAUGCUUUUUUUUUUUUUCUUCUCUAAGUGCUUAAAAACAUUCACAUUUUCAUUGAAAUGGCAUGAUAUGUAUGUUUGCUGAGACUUUGUCUGUGGCAUGAAUGAGGGAUAUGCAGGAGAAACUUGUCUUGCCUGGCUGGAAUAAAGUUUAGGAAUAAUGUACCA